UACGGAGGGUGCGAGCGUUGUCCGGAAUCACUGGGCGUAAAGGGCGCGUAGGUGGCGCAGGAAGUCAACGGUGAAAGUUCGGGGCUCAACCCUGAAUCGGCCGUCGAUACGUCCUGGGCUCGAGCACUGUAGAGGCAGAUGGAAUUCCGGGUGUAGCGGUGGAAUGCGUAGAGAUCCGGAAGAACACCGGUGGCGAAGGCG
rnacentral:rRNA from 1 species